AGCCUUAUGGUUUCUAUUUGGGCUUUCCUCACCACAAUUAUUUUUGUAGCCUAUAUGUAUAAUUUUUUUUAUACACAUACAAAUUAAAAUAAUUGUGCUGAGGAAAGCCCAAAUAGAAACCAUAAGGCU